UAUUUACCAGUAUAUUCAUAUAAAUGCUUUCUAACCGUUUUUUGUAUGGAUUCGCGUGGAUUUACGUGCAGUAAUUACAAAGUUAUUAAAGUUUUAAAAGCUUUAAUAGAGAAAAUAUAAUCGCCCAUCUAAGUUAACUGCUAACGUGUAUCGUAAACUGCAGUUAUUCGAGUCUUUGUAAUAUUUUACUCAAAUUAAAUACUUUGGAAAUACCCAAACACAAUCAGGGCUGGACAUUAAGACUAACCUACUAUCCAAAUACAGGUAGAUUUUACUUAUUGCUAGUAAUACUAAUGCCAGUUUUUCCUGUUGGAAUUGACUGACUACAUACUGUACAAUAUGAUAAUCCAUUAACAGUCAAUAACAUGUUAAAACACUGAAAACACAAGGCAAGCAAAAAUAAAGUCUACAAUUAUAAAACCAUUACCUUUUGUACUUUCAGCUAAUCAUAUGAAAUAUCACAUUAAAAAGUAAAUCUGAUAACAUCAAUAAAAUACCUUUUUACUUCUACUUUAAGUAAUAGUAUUAGCAGUACUGUUACUUGUGUACAUGUUUUGCAUCUCCUGGUUUUCCAGUGUUUAGUCCCCUGUACAGUUUGAAAAGAAGAAACUAAUCUGAAUAUGUUUCUGUUUUAUUACAACAGAUAGAAAUCAUGGAUGUGGAGGGACACAAUUGCGUGACAAGAGUUUCUCUGUGAAGUCCAACCUGACUCGGCACAUGCAGCUUCAUCUUCCAAAGGAACAUGUGUGUGAAGUGUGUGGGAAAAGCUUCUCAGUGAAAAAGCAUCUGAGCAGCCACCAAAAACAACACCUGUACCCAUGCAUCCGUCUGUACAGGCAGGGAGAGGCCAAGCUGCAGUGUACGGAUGGAUCUGCAUCGUCUCAGAAGAGCAUCCUGUCCUUUGUCAAAGCUGUUGGUACUUACACCCCUCCUCUGCCCCGGUCUCCCCUUCCUUGUGCCCGUGUGCUGAGGCGUGCGCACAUGAUCAUGGAGAUGGAGAAGAUGUCUGGAGAAAUCCUCUGCAUUGAUGGCACAAAAAAAGGUCCUUAAGAAGAUAUAUGGUGAUGGCCAGGGCACCAUGCAGUAUAUCACCAGUGUGCUGAACGAGUGGGGCCAGUUCUUGACCACAGUGGUGGUGGCAGCUGAGUCUGAGGGGUGCUACAGACGUAUGGCCAAAGGUCUGAUGGCCCUCUUUGAAUGAGCUAGGGCUCCUGCACCAGCUGUCAUAUAUGCAGAUAACAACUGUUGUCGUGCUUCGUCCUUCCUGGAGAAUCUGUUCAGGGACUGGGCACAGAAGGGCACUGUGAUCCGACUGGACAUCCGACACUGGCUGCACGCUGGGAUGCUGUUGUCAUCAAACAGAGCCAUGCCAACUAUGGGGUGUUUAUGAAUGCCCUUGCAAGUGCAGUGCUGGCCUACAACAAGAAUGAUAUGAUGCUCCUCAACUGCCCAAUCUGAAUGCCAAGGCUAACUACAGGGCAACCGUAAUGCCAAAGGUGAAACCCCACCAACGAGUGCUGUCAGAAGAACCAAUGCCAGCAGCUCCUACUCUGUCAGAAUCCCUUCCAGCUCCAGAUCGACCUCAGGUUCAGUACCAGAGCCUAUGUCAUGCAGCUGGAAAAAGGCAUGA